UUUGGAAAACAGAAAUACAUCUCUCGAUUUAAGUGUUGCAACAAUUAAUAGCCGAAUAGCUGAAAGCAGAGCUAUGCUGUGCAAUGAGGAGCAGAAUAAUCUUGAGCUAAAAAGAGAUAAAGCUUUGCUGGUGGAUCUUAUAUCUGCUUUAGAAAACAAGCUUGCUGGGAAAGAAACCAGUUUCCCGCAGUUUUCCACAAAGACUCUGCAGCUGGAUGAAGCAAUUUCAUUAUUAAAAACAAAACAUGUGCUGCAUCACCUGAACCAAAAAUGGGAAGAAAUCUCCAAAAUGGCAAAUUCCAUGAAGGAAUUUAAUAUGUCAAUGACAGCCAUUGUAGAUGAUACAGGAGAAUAUUAAUUUGCAAGUGUAGAUGGACUUGUUUUUUCAUCUCCACCUUUCAUCUCCAUCUUUCAUCUGGGGCAAAGGUUACUUCCAGAUUGAAUUACUGUAAUUUCCUCUAUGGUGGGCUACCCUUGACACUGAUCUGGAAACUCAAAAUGCGGUUUGCAUGGGUCCUUACGGGGAUGCCAUGGUUCCAUCAGCUGCAUUGGCUUCUGAUGGAGUACCAAAUCUGGUUCAAGGUUCUGUUUUUUACCUUUAAAGCCCUAAGCAGUCUGGGGCCUUUAUACUGCCAGGACUGUCUCUAAGAGAGCAUUGCACUCUGCUUGUUGGUGGUCCCUGGCCCCACUGACCUCAGCCAGUGCUAGAGCUUUUUCAGAUCAGGCCCCAAACUGUUGAUUGAGAUCCAGAUUGUAUCAUAGUUCCACGGGGCCUGUAAGACAGAGUUGUUCUGCUAGGCUUUUGGUUGAGGACACAACGGGGUCCAUCUUGGCUGGCCUCCCCCCCCCCCCCACAUCCCUUCCCUUUUUUCUCCUCUUUGAGGUUUUUUGUUUUCUAUUACAGGCUAUAUUAUUAUUGUAUUUUAUAAAUUCUAUCCUUUAAUAAGUUGUAUUGGGGUAUGAGUUUCCAGUUUGUUUUAAAUAUUCUAUGAAUUGUAUUGUUGGAAUCUGCCCUGAGCCCGCAUGGGGAAGGGUAGCCUAGCAAUUGAAUACAUAAACAAACAAAAUAAAUAACAUCCCGGUGAA